CCCGCGGCAAGACGGAAAGACCCCGUGAACCUUUACUAUAGCUUGACACUGAACAUUGAGCCUUGAUGUGUAGGAUAGGUGGGAGGCUUUGAAGUGUGGACGCCAGUCUGCAUGGAGCCGACCUUGAAAUACCACCCUUUAAUGUUUGAUGUUCUAACGUUGGCCCGUAAUCCGGGUUGCGGACAGUGUCUGGUGGGUAGUUUGACUGGGGCGGUCUCCUCCUAAAGAGUAACGGAGGAGCACGAAGGUUGGCUAAUCCUGGUCGGACAUCAGGAGGUUAGUGCAAUGGCAUAAGCCAGCUUGACUGCGAGCGUGACGGCGCGAGCAGGUGCGAAAGCAGGUCAUAGUGAUCCGGUGGUUCUGAAUGGAAGGGCCAUCGCUCAACGGAUAAAAGGUACUCCGGGGAUAACAGGCUGAUACCGCCCAAGAGUUCAUAUCGACGGCGGUGUUUGGCACCUCGAUGUCGGCUCAUCACAUCCUGGGGCUGAAGUAGGUCCCAAGGGUAUGGCUGUUCGCCAUUUAAAGUGGUACGCGAGCUGGGUUUAGAACGUCGUGAGACAGUUCGGUCCCUAUCUGCCGUGGGCGCUGGAGAACUGAGGGGGGCUGCUCCUAGUACGAGAGGACCGGAGUGGACGCAUCACUGGUGUUCGGGUUGUCAUGCCAAUGGCACUGCCCGGUAGCUAAAUGCGGAAGAGAUAAGUGCUGAAAGCAUCUAAGCACGAAACUUGCCCCGAGAUGAGUUCUCCCUGAGACUUAGAGUCUCCUGAAGGAACGUUGAAGACGACGACGUUGAUAGGCCGGGUGUGUAAGCGCAGCGAUGCGUUGAGCUAACCGGUACUAAUGAACCGUGAGGCUUAACCUU
rnacentral:rRNA from 1 species